AUGCAAUGAGAUUAUGGUGUAGGAAGCUGUGGAUUUUAAUUUAGGUGUUCUACUCGGAGUUCAUUUGGUUCAACUAUUAUUGUUAAAUGAGUUAUUGUGGAUAGAGAAAUCCCUAGUUUAAG